GGCGACCGGCGCGACGGGUGAGUAACGCGUACUCCAACCUUCCCUUACUCAGGGAUAGCCCCGGUGAAAACCGGAUUAACACCUGAUAGUUUCUACUAGAUGGCAUCUGAACGGUGAAUAAAGUCUUUGCGGUAAGGGAUGGGGAUGCGUCUGAUUAGCUUGUGGCGGGGUAACGGCCCACCAAGGCAACGAUCAGUAGGGGUUCUGAGAGGAAGGUCCCCCACACUGGUACUGAGACACGGACCAGACUCCUACGGGAGGCAGCAGCGAGGAAUAUUGGUCAAUGGGCGUAAGCCUGAACCAGCCAAGUAGCGUGCAGGAAUGACGGCCCUACGGGUUGUAAACUGCUUUUAUGCGGGGAUAAAGUGCGGCACGUGUGCCGCUUUGCAGGUACCGCAUGAAUAAGGACCGGCUAAUUCCGUGCCAGCAGCCGC
rnacentral:rRNA from 1 species